rnacentral:rRNA from 1 species
GAGAGUUUGAUCCUGGCUCAGGACGAACGCUGGCGGCGUGCCUAAUACAUGCAAGUCGAACGCUUCUUUUUCCACCGGAGCUUGCUCCACCGGAAAAAGAGGAGUGGCGAACGGGUGAGUAACACGUGGGUAACCUGCCCAUCAGAAGGGGAUAACACUUGGAAACAGGUGCUAAUACCGUAUAACAAUCGAAACCGCAUGGUUUUGAUUUGAAAGGCGCUUUCGGGUGUCGCUGAUGGAUGGACCCGCGGUGCAUUAGCUAGUUGGUGAGGUAACGGCUCACCAAGGCGACGAUGCAUAGCCGACCUGAGAGGGUGAUCGGCCACAUUGGGACUGAGACACGGCCCAAACUCCUACGGGAGGCAGCAGUAGGGAAUCUUCGGCAAUGGACGAAAGUCUGACCGAGCAACGCCGCGUGAGUGAAGAAGGUUUUCGGAUCGUAAAACUCUGUUGUUAGAGAAGAACAAGGAUGAGAGUAACUGUUCAUCCCUUGACGGUAUCUAACCAGAAAGCCACGGCUAACUACGUGCCAGCAGCCGCGGUAAUACGUAGGUGGCAAGCGUUGUCCGGAUUUAUUGGGCGUAAAGCGAGCGCAGGCGGUUUCUUAAGUCUGAUGUGAAAGCCCCCGGCUCAACCGGGGAGGGUCAUUGGAAACUGGGAGACUUGAGUGCAGAAGAGGAGAGUGGAAUUCCAUGUGUAGCGGUGAAAUGCGUAGAUAUAUGGAGGAACACCAGUGGCGAAGGCGGCUCUCUGGUCUGUAACUGACGCUGAGGCUCGAAAGCGUGGGGAGCAAACAGGAUUAGAUACCCUGGUAGUCCACGCCGUAAACGAUGAGUGCUAAGUGUUGGAGGGUUUCCGCCCUUCAGUGCUGCAGCUAACGCAUUAAGCACUCCGCCUGGGGAGUACGACCGCAAGGUUGAAACUCAAAGGAAUUGACGGGGGCCCGCACAAGCGGUGGAGCAUGUGGUUUAAUUCGAAGCAACGCGAAGAACCUUACCAGGUCUUGACAUCCU